rnacentral:rRNA from 1 species
AACGAACGCUGGCGGCAUGCCUAACACAUGCAAGUCGAACGAGACCUUCGGGUCUAGUGGCGCACGGGUGCGUAACGCGUGGGAACCUGCCCUUAUGUUCGGAAUAACUCCCCGAAAGGGGUGCUAAUACCGGAUAAUGUCUUCGGACCAAAGAUUUAUCGCCUUUGGAUGGGCCCGCGUUGGAUUAGCUAGUUGGUAGGGUAAAAGCCUACCAAGGCGACGAUCCAUAGCUGGUCUGAGAGGAUGAUCAGCCACACUGGGACUGAGACACGGCCCAGACUCCUACGGGAGGCAGCAGUGGGGAAUAUUGGACAAUGGGCGAAAGCCUGAUGCAGCAAUGCCGCGUGAGUGAUGAAGGCCUUAGGGUUGUAAAGCUCUUUUACCCGGGAUGAUAAUGACAGUACCGGGAGGAUAAGCUCCGGCUAACUCCGUG